rnacentral:rRNA from 1 species
CUUGAACGCUGGCGGCAGGCUUAACACAUGCAAGUCGAGCGAGCGGCGGACGGGUGAGUAAUGUCUGGGAAACUGCCUGAUGGAGGGGGAUAACUACUGGAAACGGUAACUAAUACCGCAUCCCAUCAGAUGUGCCCAAAUGGGAUUAUCGAGUAGGUGGGGGAAUGGCUCACCUAGGCGACGAUCCCGAGCUGGUAUGAGAGGAUGACCAGCCAACCUGGAACUGAGAAACGGUCCAGACUCCUACGGGAGGCAUCAGUGGGGAAUAUUGCACAAUGGGCGAAAGCCUGAUGCAGCCAUGCCGAGUGUGUGAAGAAGGCCUUCGGUUUGUAAAGCACUUUCAGCGAGGAGGCGUUACUCGCAGAAGAAGCACCGGCUAACUCCGUGCCAGCAGCCGCGGUAAUUC